rnacentral:lncRNA from 1 species
CUGACUCUCGAUAGGUUACGGGCAAAGAGGAUGGUGUAGGUAGAAUGAUUAGGUUCAUUGCUGUACGUACAUUUUUGAUAACACAGAUCAUGUUUGGGAAAUGGAAAAGUGUUGCAAGAACUGUAUUAUGGGCUGCUUUCACCUGUAUGAGUGUGAUUGGGUUGUGUGGUUGUUGUUUGGUCCCGUGUGCAAGAGGUUUAAUCACCAGAACUCUAGAGAGAUGAUAACGGAGCAGAUGGUGAGCUACGGACCGAGUCAAAGUUCAGAUCAAUGAGAUGACAAGUACCUACCGCCGAGCAAGGUGGAGGAUUCAUUCAAAUAUGACGAGCACAUGUUAGAUGAGACCAUCUAUUGGGAUGCAUGAAUUAGUUUGAAUUUGUGUGAAAUUUCUGAAUCCAAUCAAAAUAGAUGUGUUAUAAUGUAUGUGAAAUAUCUAGCAAAACGGGUGGAUUGUAAUGGAAAUGAUAUGAUUUUAAUCCCUAUUGAGACUUGACAAGCUAUCUGCUGAGGUGAGACGUGAAGAGGGGGACUCACAAAAUUUAUAAUCUAACGUUUUACCUAAUGAUAUAUAAGGAGGGCAUUUGCACAACAUGUUUCACAACAGCACACAACAAAAUUCCAGAGACAUAUUGAGCGACCAACUGAUACCAAUCACGACCACACCCAGAGACAGAUGGCUGACUUAAGCCCUAGCCACACGAACUGACCACUGGUGUAAAGAACAACAUUCCAUGAAUAUCGCAAGCACUCAGACACGAAUUACCAGAAAUACACACACACACACACACACACUUAGGUGUGUUGGACUCCGAGGACAAAGGACACUGCCAAGGGCCAAUGGGAAGUCGACACCACCUGGAGAGUGGACCGUCCCUCCACUCAUCGACCAGUCAGGAGAGCGGACCUACUAGACUCAACGUCAACACACUGUUAUUUCAUUGUAUAAAUUGGAUGUAUACUAUGUUUCGGGGCUCUCUUCCGCUAGUUCCCUAUGAGCUAAACGAAGGAGUCCGUGCACGCUUUGCCAAAUAUCUUUGUCUCAUAAUAAACUGCCUUACUAUAAACU